ACUACUCCCAGUUGAAACUUCCAGCUGUACCUCCAGUCCUAAGCUGCACAGAUACCGAACAGAAGUGGCAUAAACCAAGGACAAUGGGCAUAAAACCUGGUCCAGUAAAUGACAUGGUCGUCCUGUCAGCAAGACCAAGAGAGAGGAAAAUCUUUGAAGGAAUUAGAAGCAACUUGUAUAAAGGUGCUACCAGCCCUCUUCCACUCAUCUCCACCCUAAGGAUACAGGAUGUGUACAAGGGACUUCCAGCUGAAGAAGCGCCAAUGAUAACCACAAUGGCUGUCUCCAACGAUGUCCCUCUUGUUGACUCUUUGUUUGGUCCGGUACAAGAGGGAAGCGUUCUGUCAUAUCAGCUGCCAGCAAGGAUAGUUCCCAGGACCCGUCCACACCAAGACGCCCCUUCUCCCCCACAGCUUCCACUCUUCAAUUACAGGCUUGAACCCUCCACCUGUGAGUAUGUUUGUUCAGAACAAGAGCACCACCAUAUGACGUCCCUUGAGACAACAUUAGAGAUGUCUCACA